CCCCGACUAGCUCAGUUGGUAGAGCAUGAGACUCAUAAUCUCAGUAUUAGUGGGUAAUGGGUUCGUGUCCCACGUUGGGUG
rnacentral:tRNA from 1 species